GAUGAACGCUGGCGGCGUGCCUAAUACAUGCAAGUCGAGCGAACAGACUAGGAGCUUGCUCCUCUGACGUUAGCGGCGGACGGGUGAGUAACACGUGGAUAACCUACCUAUAAGACUGGGAUAACUUCGGGAAACCGGAGCUAAUACCGGAUAAUAUAUUGAACCGCAUGGUUCAAUAGUGAAAGACGGUUUUGCUGUCACUUAUAGAUGGAUCCUCGCCGCAUUAGCUAGUUGGUAAGGUAACGGCUUACCAAGGCAACGAUGCGUAGCCGACCUGAGAGGGUGAUCGGCCACACUGGAACUGAGACACGGUCCAGACUCCUAAGGGAGGCAGCAGUAGGGAAUCUUCCGCAAUGGGCGAAAGCUUGACGGAGCAACGCCGCGUGAGUGAUGAAGGUCUUCGGAUCGUAAAACUCUGUUAUUAGGGAAGAACAAAUGUGUAAGUAACUAUGCACGUCUUGACGGUACCUAAUCAGAAAGCCACGGCUAACUACGUG
rnacentral:rRNA from 1 species